GCGGGAACUACAAUGCCCAAAAUGCGCCAAGAUCAGACGCGCCCAGAGUGGGCCAAAGAAGCGAAGGGGUCUCGGGCGCCAUGUUAGGAGUACCGGGAACAGUCCGCGGAGCCUGGCCGAGGUUUUAGGCAGCGCGCGAGCCGAAUGGUGGUGCGGUGGGGACGAGUCUGUCUACACUAUGAAAGAUGGAAAAUUUCUUCCUGAGGGUGUCUGAAGGGUUAAAAAUACGAUACAUAUUUUGUUUUUCUCCACAGUUAUUCGGAAAACAAAAUUAUUAACUUGUUACUUUGGGUCAUUAAGGAUAUGCCUUUCGUCUCUCUGUUAGUAGUUAGUAAUAUUACAGCUGAUGGAUGGAUUCUCCUAUCUGGAGAAGCUAGGCAGAGUGAUUAAAAAUAAUAAAACAUGGUAGAAAUAGUCUUUCAGAUGUAUACAAAUGAUAACUACAAAAACUUAGAAGAAUCAUCUUCUGUCCUGUUUCUGGGAACAAGUCACAAGAUGAAAGGCUUUGUUUCAUUUUUAACAGAGGUAACAUGUGUUAGUCUCAUUUAUCUGUGCAGUACAACAAUGGGAAAGGCUCAUACAAAUAUUUCUCUUAUUCAGAACCACCUUCUUUUCAAAUAAUCAUGGCUUUUGUGGCUGCCUAUUUAACCAAACUUCUGCUGGAAGAAUAGUGCACUUUUAUGACCAUUCCAGAAAAGCAUAGCAAUGACCAAGGGCCUAGGUUUCCUUUGAGAAAUUACUGGUCCUAAAAGGGUGGUGUUUGCCCUUUAUACCAAUAUCAUCAAUAGUUACCAACCAAACCUGCCUGGGAUCCUCACAACCACUAUUAGAGAAAACUACUCAUUUGACCAGGAGAUUAAACUUGAACAAAACUUGUCUGUUCUUGCCUGGCUAUGAUUACCAAGACACAUUACCUCAAGAAGUCUGAGAAGGAUUCUUUUAAUUACUUCUGUGAGAAAGAUCACAAGUAGGCAGAAGGAGAGGGAGCAACAGGCUCCCCACUGAGCAGAGAGCCUGAUGUGGGACUCGAUCCCAAGACCCUGAGAUCAUGACCUGAGCUGAAGGCAGAUGCUUAACCAACUGAGCCACCCAGGUGCCCUCAAGCAUCCUUUUAAACUUGUAGUACUUGUAUGGGUCACGUGACAGUUUAUAUCUUGAAAAUAAUUAUAAAUAACUGCAUCAUUUAUUGACUUGGAAAGGGUAAAAUCAGUGACUAGUUGUAGGCCAAUGGGGGAUUAGAAACUCAGCUUUAAUAUUCACAGUGCUCCUUCAAAGCUAAUUAAAAUGUCUAGGGAACAGCUUGAUUCUAUCUUCUAACUCUCUUUCCCUUUUAUUUUUUUAUUUUUUAGCAACUUCAACAACCUUAGUCUUUUCAUGCAAAUAAGCAUUGUCUCCUUUCCUUUUAACACAACACUGCAAAACGACUAGCUCAUAAACCAUUCAGACGUUAUUGCUGUUAGUAGGUAACAUGCUAUUCUGCCUGGUACCUACACAGUUGGCAUGCAACAAUUGUUUAAUGGAUAAGACAGUUGUUAAAAUUUUGACAGAUUGCUUAGUCCUGUGAGCAAGCACUGACUUACAUCACCCCUUAUCACCUGAUGUUUUUGUGACAGAUUUUCUAUGAGUGAACUGUUUGAGACAUGAAGGAAAUAAAACAUUCAUUAAUUGAUAAUCUCCCCCACUCCUACCUGGACACAAGACUGAAUUUGGGAGUCCUUGAUUCCCAGUAUAUCAUAACAUCAUAACUUAUAGCCUGAAAGAAAGAGAGAGGGCCAUGGUAUUUGAGAAUAAAAUCUUAUUUAUUUAUACCUGAGCUUUAUGUCAUGAUGCUUAAUGCCAUGACCAUUAAGCCAUUCCUAUAACACUUAAGUGUAUCUUCUAAAGGAAGCCUGUGAAAUGUCUCCAGAAUGACUUGAGUUUUGGGAGGGGGGGGGGGGUUGUUUGUUUUAAGUAAGCUCUAGGCCCAAUGUGGGGCUGUAACUUAUGACCUGAGAUCAAGAGUCUCACACUCUACUAACGGAGCCAGCCAGUUACCCCAGAAUGACUUGAUUUUUAGUGGAAUUAAUUAUUAUUUUCUUUUGGGACCUGAUUCUUUCUGGUGAAACAGAUUCCAAAAUGAUGUAAUUUGUCAAAGACUGUUUCAUCUUCAGUAUCUUUAAAAAAAAAAAAAUGCAAUUAGGUAAAGCAUUUUUAAAUAGACUGCCUCCAUCUGAUCCAUUUUCUUGUUACCCGGUAAUGUUUUUCAUCAGCAGCCACAGCUCUGAAAGGACGUUAAAGAGUCUCUUGUUACAAACUUCAGCACUUAUGUUCAUAAUAGAACAUUAAGAUAGAUUGAAGGCUCCCAUAAUUAGCCUACACUCAGUCUUUUCCUACCUUUUGCCCUCUGAUUUCCUACUUAUAUUUUUGUAGUAACUGUGUUGAGGGUACAUGACCACUAAAUUGUAUGUUUCUUUGAGAGCAGGAACUAUACCAUAUUUAAUUUCACAUUUCUUUGUGUGCUUAAAACGGGACUUUUAUUUCUUCAGCAAAUAUUCACUGAGUAUCCACUAGGUGUCAGAUAUACUAGGUAGAUUCUAGGGACAUCAAGAUAACUAAGUACAGACAUGCUCUUGGGAAUCUGUCUUAAGCGGGAGAGGUGGCAAAAGAUAUUUGUAAGCCAAACAAAAACAACAACCCCUGCAGUGUAAUAUGAUGUUAUAGUGGAAUAGGCUAUUUCCUCAUUUAAGAGGACUUAAAAAAAUCAUUUCCAAAAAUAUCUCCCCGAUAAGCUUGCCUCAGUUACUAAGUUUCCACCAUUAUUGCAUUGUGAUUGCCUCUGGGCAGGAAAACUAAGGGGCAUCAAUGGCUGUGGAAUUAAUUUUUCCUCUUUUUAAAAUCUUUUUGUUAAUUUUACAUACAGUAAGAUUCAUUUUUUAUAUAUAAUUUCUUGAGUUUUGACAAAUACAUGGAAGUCCUGUAAUCACCACCACAACCAAGAUACAGAACAGUUCCAUCGCCUCAAAAAGUUCUUUUGUACUACCCCUUUUAAAAUUUUAUGUAUUUCAUUAUUUUGGUACAAUUGUUUUUCAAAAGGUAAGGUUUGGCUGUUUCAUGUACAUCUUUUCCUUAUCAAAAAUGUAUGUCUUUGGGUUAAGACAGUACCGCUUCUAAUAAGCCUCUGGAGAAAUACAGAUAUCCAAAGAAGGAUAUCCAAAACCUUACACCAUUUAAGUCAUCUGCACUUUAGUUGGUAGAUCAUGCUGUUGAAAAGAAUUAGGAUUCAGAAAAGGUAAACAAUGUAUGUGGUGUGUGUAUGUUAGAUUAGUAAGAGGAUAGUAGUUGUGGUAGAGGAGGAGAUUAGGGCCUGACAGUGGAACAGCAUGCAUAGAAGGAUAAGAGUAGCAUGUUUUUGAAUAGUGUAAGGUCCCUGGGUUCUCAAAGAUACAAGGGGCACAAAAGAAGGGAUGAGUCCUGAAGAGGGGUAGACUUCAUGUAAAGAUUAGUCAGUCUGUUGUUAUCUGGAACUACUGUCCUGGGAUUCUAGAACUGGCUCUGCCAGUAAUUCAUUCUUGAAAAGUCACUUUCGUUUUUCUGGGACUCAAUUUAAUCAUCUACAAAAAACAAUUGGAAUAAGUAUACUCUCAAGCCUAUUUGAGUAUAUUCUCAAGUUUAUUCCAACCCAGGUGAAACUUUUGGGUAUGUGUGUCUGAGGGGAGUGGUGAGUUUCUGUCGCAUUUUAACUGGAGAGGCGUAUCUGUAGAUAAUGAUAACCAAACUUUAACAAUUAUUAAGAUCCUUUAAAAUGUCAUGUAGUUGAUAUCAGAAGCUGCAAAGCAAAGUUAUUACUGAUCUCUUUGGGGCUCCAUUGAUCUAGCUUUCUGGCCCUUAGUCUUCUCAUUUGUAGAAUAACUAGAUACAUGUUCCUUGCAGUUUCACAUUUUAUGAAAGUGAAACCUAUUAAAACUUACCAGUGUUAUUUCUUUUCUCAUUUCCUCUGUACCUAUUCUGAUUUUACUUUUUUAAGUUAUUAGUCACUAUUCAUUUAGCACUUCUGUGUGCCAGAAUUUGUAAUGUAGUGUAUUUCACCUAUGUUAUUUAAGAAAUUUUACAGUGCUGCUGUCCUUUGUAAGUGUACAAGUAUGGGAAACUCACACCAUGCCUCCUACCCCCAUCCAGGAUAACAUAUUCCUACAACAAGAUCUCAUUUUAGUGAAUAUUAAAACUAGCAUUGGAGAGGGGAAGAAGGAAGGAAGAUGUGUGUGGCUUUCAAUUGGUAAGUGAAGGGAAAAGAACUGAGUUGAGGACGUACUGUGUGCUAGGUACCUUAUAUGUGCCUAUCUUCUUUAGGUCAUUGUUAAAGGCAGACAGGAAGGGAGCCUAUUUAUCUUGGUAACAAAAGGGAAAAAAUUCUUUCAUCCCACAAGUCAUUGGAAUUAUUCAGAAUAUAAAUUUUUUCGUGUCAUUCUCUCCUAUGAGGGCACAGACAACAUAAUUCUUCUACAUAAUGUUUGGCAAAUAUUUAUGAAAUGAAUAGGCUUUUUUCUCCUGUCCUUGGAGCAGAGGUCCUUUGGGUCCAUGGACCUCUAAGAAUUUUAUAAAAGCUACGGACCCACCAAGUAUGUCUCCUCUCCUACUACACAAACACAACAAAAUAAAAAAUAGUCAACUCCCUCUCCUUGCCCUAAGUCACUCCACAUAUGUAUUUGUGCAAAAUCCAUGAUUUUGGAAUCUUUUCCACCUUUCUGUGAUUUAUUCGUGUGUCCCAGGUUAAGAACUCAGUUCUAGAAACAUCUCUGGGUAUCUAGACAGCCUAGGAGCUUAAUUCCAUUAACUUGUAAUGCUUAUAGAGCUGUCAUCCUUUAUUGGUCCUUUUCAGGUUUGAGAAAAUUGCACCAUGCCUCUUGACUGUUCGUUUUGUUUUGUUUUUUUCUAUGAGCAGAAAUUAUAUCCAACUUGCUCUUUGGUUCAUUAAUACGUGCUACAACCAAAGAACAGCAUUAUAUUUUUAAGGGUUUUGGAGUAGGAAUUGUUUAAUUUUACAGAUGAAGAAAUUAAGGUUUGUCCCAAGUUUAUUAUAUGUGAGUAUCAUAUCUCUGGCUUUCUAAAUGGAAUGAUUCCCCUUCUUCCCUCCCUCCCUCCCUUCCUUCCUCCCUCCCUCCUUCCUUUCUUCCUUCUCAUUCAGAAACCCACUUAAAGUAUUGUUAGGCCAGUGUCCUCAUCUGUGAAAUUUUAUCUGGGUAGAGAAAGAUGUUGAAAAAAAAAAUGACCUUGUUUCAUAAUGGAAGACGAUGACCUAUAAAACAAAUAUUCUAAGUAAUUCCAAAUACGGUAUGAGAACCCCCCAUAAAGCAGUGAGAAAUUGGUUAAAGGAAAACAAUGUUGUGUAAACUCUACACUUUUCCAAACACAAGGCCCUUAAUUUGUUAUAAAAUCCAGGGCAUACUACAGAGAAGUUAUUUGGAUGUUUAUCUAAUCUCCAGUACCUCCUGUGCUCUUACUUGACAGCAAGAUGGCAUCUCAUCCAGGCUUGUGAUGGAGGAAAAUGGAGUUGUUGAUUAUUAUUAUUAUUAUUAUUAAAGUGGAAAAAAUAGAGAUUUUGUCAAUCAGAUGGAUUAAUAUUUUAAGCACUUAUUAUGUGCCAGGAGCUUUUUAAUUUCUGGGUGAAGAGUAACAGAGUCCCCAUUGUACACUUAACCACAGGGUACAUACACAGUUACAGUUAACAUUUGAGUGCUUACUGUAAGCAAAAGCAUUGCUCCAGCUGCAUUUGCAUUAAUUUCAUUCACAGGUUUCUCAGUCUUUGUAAUAACUCAGUAAAAUACUGUUAACCUUCUCAUCACUAACAAGAAAACUGUAGUUUAAAGAGAUUAAAGGGCGCCUGGGUGCCUCAGUGGGUUAAGCCUCUGCCUUCUGCUCCGGUCAUGAUCUCAGGGUUCUGGAAUAGAGCCCAGCAUCGAGCUCUGCUCAGCAGGGAGCCUUUCCUCCUCUCUGCCUGCCUCUCUACCUACUUGUGAUCUCUAUCUGUCAAAUAAAUAAAUAAAUAAAUAAAUAAAUAGAAAAAAUUUUAAGAGAUUAGAAAUUUACCCAUCAAUGUUGCAAAGCUGAGACUUUGAACCCUGGUUGAUUUGACUCUGAAGUCUGUACUCCAUUCCAGAACACUACCAAAGCCUCUAAUAUAUAACCAUUAAUCUUUACUGUCAUUUGCUGUCCAUAGUGGGGAGACCAUAAUGGUGGGAUUAAGGGGGAGUUACCCGGCCUUUUCUGAGAGAAGUGGUGCCUUCCCCCACAAACAAGUUUGAUGUGGUGAAAUCAGGUUAGGAAGAUAAAAAAGGUUGAAGAAGGUGGAGGUGGCGUGGUUGAACCUGUUCAGGAACUGAUUACAUCUGAGCCUCUGGCCCUUUUACCUGCCAGCUGACUCAGAGCUGGCCGAUGGGCCAAAGCCCAGGCAGGUUAAUUUCAUGGGCUGUAUACUUCAAAGGAUCUGAUUCCUGGCACUGCUCUGCACGUUGCUUUUCAGAGGGCAGAGUCUUGUGGGGGAGGGAACAGGAUGGCUUCCAGGAAGUGUUUGCAAAAGACCAAGGCAGUGUUUGCUCUAAAUCCAAAUAUAUGCAGCUUGUUCUACCGCUGGCAAUAAAAAAUAAAAUAAAAUAAAAAAUAAAAUAAAAUAAAAAAUAAAAUAAAAUAAAAUAAAAAAUAAAAUAAAAAAAGAUUAGCCCUAAGCAUGCCUUAAAAUUGGGUACUUAAAUCUUAAGUAUUCCUCUGCAGUAAAUAUAGCAAUUAAGAAUAUGAAUCCUAUGAAUACUCAGCCUUUGUAUCAACAUGGACGGGACUGGAGGAGAUUAUCUGAGUGAAAUAAAUCAAGCAGAGAGAGUCAAUUAUCAUAUGGUUUCACUUACUUGAGGAGCAUAAGGAAUAACAUGGAAGACAUUAGGAGAAGGAAAGGAAAAAUGAAUUGGGGGAAAUAGGAGGGGGAGGCCAACCAUGAGAGACUGUGGACUCUGGGAAACAAACCAAGGGUUUUGGAGGGGAGGGGAGUGGUGGGAUAGGUAAGCCUGGUUGUUGGUAUUAAUGUAUGGAGCACUGGGUGUGAUGGGUGUGAUGUAUAAAUAAUGAAUUUUGGAACACUUGAAAAAAAUAAAAAAUUUUUUAAAAAGAAUGUAAAAAAAAAAAAUGAACCCUAGAGUUAGACCUGAAUUUCAAUAUUGGUUCUACCACUAACCUGUGAAUAAAUUGAUUACUAUGCCUUAGUUUUCUCAUGUGCAAAAUGGGGAUUAAGUACCUGCUUUAUAGACGUGUUGUGAAGGUUAAAGUGAGUACAAAGUAUUGAGUAUAAAGCAUAUAUCACAGUACCUGAGACAUAGUAAAUUCUCUUGAAAAACAAUCAUUCAGAGAAAAUUCAUAUUUUAUAAGAGAAUCUCCAGGCUUUAAUUCAUUUUUCUUUUACUUAAAAUACAUUUAAAAAGCAUCUAUUAUUGUAUUCCAUGGCAGGGAUAGGGAAAACAAGAACUUUUGUUGAACAUGUAAAAUAAGCCAAAUAUAUUUUAAAAUAUAUUGUCUCAUUUAAUGUUCACAGCAACCCUACGAAGUAUUUUCCUACCUUAUUAAUGAGACCUUAGGUUGAGAGAAGUUCAGUAGCAUGCCUAAGAUUGAAUAGUGAGCACUCUGUAACUCCAAAACCUGUGAAUAAAAUACCCUUUAUCCCCACUAGAACAUAUUAUUCAGCAAGCAGUCAGACACAUAAACAAAUACCUACAUUCAAAGUGCUGUUAUUGGGGUUUAUACUGUGUGCCUGGGAGCAGAAAGCAGGGAAGAUGAACUGAGCGGGGAUGUGCCUGGGUGGAAUAAAGUUCAUCUUCUUGACAGGAAUAAAUAAUAAUAGUGGGGCUUUGGGCAGGAAUGAGAUAGGGGGCUUUUGCUAGUGGAGAAGGAAUUAAGAGAGGUCUUCCUGGGUCUCCUCAAGUCACAUUAAAAGAGGGAUUAGCAUUAUGACAAGCAUAAUUGCAGCAAAUAUAAUUACAGGCAAAAGAACUGUCUCCAGAAAGACCAGAUUAUGUUGUUUACUUGAUGUAAAAUGGUGGGGGUUAUAUACAAAUAAUUUCUGUUAGCAUCAGAAGUGUCUGUACCUCCUUGGGCUUUGUAAUGAACAAUAAUAGCAACUAACUACAUGAUCAUUAGAUACUGGUCACUACUGUUUUCACAGGCCAGAACUUUUUUUUUUUUAAGAGAGGAGGAGAGAAGAGAAGGGGCAGAGGGAGAGAGACUCUUACGUAGUCUCCAUGCAGCAUGGAGACCAACUCAGUCUAGAGAUCAUGACCAGAGCCAAAAAUCAAAAGUUGGGUGCUUGCCAAACUCAGCCACUCAGGUGCCCGUCACAGACCAGAGCUCUUAACUAGAGAAAGGUGGAAAGGGUUUGUCUAAGCCGCUAAUCUCAAAUUAAAUACACAUAAUUGGGGCAAAUAAGCUAAACUAUUUACAAGAAUUAUUUUAAUCUUCAUGACAUACUAGGUUGGUAGAAGCUAACAAAUUUUUCACUAAAACAUUUUCCUUUUUUCUCCUGGGCACACAAAAGGACUACAUUUCCUGGACUUCCUUACAGCCACAUUUUGUUCUGGCCAAUGAAAAAUGACCAGAGGUGAUGAACAUCAUCUUCAGGUCUGACCCAUGAAACUCACCCUUUUAAUUCUCCAGGCUCGCUUCCCUCAUCUGGGAGAGGAUCCAGCAAAACCAGUAGUACAAGAGCCUGUCUUUUCCUCCCCCCUACCUCCGGCCUUUACUGGAUUGUGAUAUGAACCAGAAAUAAACUUGUACUGUGUUAGGUCAUUGAGAUGUGGGGGUUGUUUGUUAUAGCAGUUCAUGUAUCCUAAUACAACAAGAUCUGACAAGAACCCAGAGAAGGAGAGAGAAAUUGUUUACAGUGUCUGGCACAUGAUACACAAUAAAAAAGGUGAUUAGCCUCAUUAAUUUAAGAAGCAUGAAUGUUACUUUUAUGAGAGAGCUUACGAGCAACUAUCUAAAAGUCCUCUGGGUAAAGUGGGAGAAAAUGUUGGGAAUCACUGACAAUACACUUUGGUUUCCAAAGCUUUUCACGUAUACAAUGGGCAUACCUUAAGGAAUGGACAUACCACCCCUGCAAUACCUCAUACUCUGUAGCCUGCUAAAUCAGUAAAGCACAUUUCUUUUAAGUUUUAUAAAAAUAUGUGACAAGUACAAAUACAAUUUUUAUUCAUACUUGGAAUUCUUCCUCCUUUUAAAAUUUUUUUUAGGAUUGUAUUUAUUUAGAGAGUGAGAGAUCAGGAUGGGUCAGAGGGAGAAGCCCAGAGUCUGAUGGUCUCAGGACCAUGAUGUCAUCACCUGCGCUGAAAUUAAGAGUCGGGUGCUCAACCGACUGAGCCACCCAUGUACCUCUCCUUCCUCCAUCUUGAUGAGUUUUUCCUCAUUUAUUCAGAUCUAAGGGCUAAAAUGUGUGUUUUAAAUUUCUCAAGUUAUUUUUCUCUCAGUAGUUUCCUUUGCUCUAACAUGGUUUCUGGCCAUUACAGUACUUAGCUGGAACUGUAUUUUUAAUCUUGAGAAAUUGAAUUCCUAUAAUUUGGCCUUGAUCACUGAGUGAUCUCAAUUUUUUUUUUAAAGAUUUUAUUUAUUUAUCGGGGUCGGGGGGAGCGAGCACAGGCAGACAGAAUGGCAUGCAGAGGCAGAGGGAGAAGCAGACUCCCUGCUGAGCAAGGAGCCCGAUGUGGGACUCGAUCCCAGGACGCUGGGAUCAUGACCUGAGCCGAAGGCAGCCGCUUAACCAACUGAGCCACCCAGGCAUCCCUCAAAUUUUUGAUGUAGUAACUACUACUGUAUUUUCUUCUUCCUCCUUCAUACUUACUUGCAAAGUUGAUUCCUGUGGAAUUGCAUGGAUUGCUACUUAGGCUCCUGGCUUCACAUUUUCUUUAUUUCUUCUUGCCUUGGGUGAAUCAGAAUAUUAGCAUAGCCUUCUGAGACAUUUUGUUGCUACUACCCUUAUCAUGUUCCUCCCCUCAGUCUUACAUUUUCAAAACAUUCAGGAGGUAGAGGAUUGGUUUUGAAGCCUUAAUAAAUGUUCAAAGAAGCUAUGUGGCUUAGAGGAAGCAAACAGGAUUUGCAUGCAGACAGACUUGAUUUCCAUCCCUGACAUAACCGCCAACCAGCUCUAUAUGACAUUGGUCAGUUAUUCAACUUUUUAAGAGACACAGCUAAAACAGAGAUGGUAAAACUCACUUUGCAAAGAUGAGUAAGAUAUGUAAGCUAAUUUCACUUUUGAAUAUGGAUACAAAAAUCUUAAAAUACUAGCAAACCAAACCCAAAAUAUACCCCAUAGCCAUUUAUUAAUAUCAAGAAUAUAUGUUUGGUUUAAUAUUUUUAAAAACAAAUGUAGGGGCACCUGGGUAGCUCAGUGGAUUAAGCCUCUGCCUUUGGCUCAGGUCAUGGUCUCAUAGUCCUGGGAUUGAGCCUUGCAUGGGGCUCUCUGUUCAGUAGGGAGCCUGCUUCCCCCUCUCUCUCUGCCUGCCUCUCUGCCUACGUGUGAUCUCUCCCUCUCCCUCUGUCAAAUAAAUAAAAUCUUUUGCAAUAAAUAAAUAAAUAGAAACAAAUGUAGUUUAUACCUUACCUGAUUGAUGGGAUAAGCAUAAAUGGUCAUAACAAUAGAUGCAGAAAAAUUUUUGAUAAAAUUUAACAUCCAUUCAUAAAAACAAAACUCUUGCCAAACUGGGAGUAGAAGAGAACUUCUUACAUUGACAAAGGAUAUCUAUUUAAAAAAUUGUGCUUAAAGAAGCAAAAGGUUUCUUAAAUUGAUAAAGGAUAACUUCAAAAAAAGUAUAUCAUACUUAAUGGUUAAAGAGAAUAACUGAGGCGCCUGAGUGGCUUGGUCAAUUAAGUGUUUGACUUGUGAUUUCGGCUCAGGUCCUGAUCUCGUAGGUUAAACCCUGCAUCAGGCUCCAUGCUGAGUGGGUAAUCUGCUUGAGAUUCUCUCUCCCUCUUUCUGCUCCUCUCCCCCACUCUCUCUCUGUCAAAUAAAUAAUUAAAGCAAUAUGGAAAAAGUAUCACUUUGAGGUCAAGAAUAAGAGACUUCUUAGAUGUUUGUCUGGCUUAGUUUGGUAGGGCAUGUGAUUCAUCAUCUUGGAGUUGUGAGUCAAGCCCCACGUUGUGUGUAGAGAUUGCUUUUAUUCAUUUAUUUUAAGAUUUUAAUUUUAAGUAAUCUCUACACCCAAUGUGGGGCUCAAACUCACAACCCUGAGAUCAAGAGUCACACACUCUACCAACUGAGCUAGCCAGGGACCCCAGAGAUCACCUUAAUAAAUAAAUAAAUAAAUAACAUAACAUAAUUAAAAAAAAAAAA